rnacentral:rRNA from 1 species
UACGUAGGGCGCAAGCGUUAUCCGGAAUUAUUGGGCGUAAAGAGCUCGUAGGCGGUUUGUCGCGUCUGCCGUGAAAGUCCGGGGCUCAACUCCGGAUCUGCGGUGGGUACGGGCAGACUAGAGUGAUGUAGGGGAGACUGGAAUUCCUGGUGUAGCGGUGAAAUGCGUAGAUAUCUGGAGGAACACCGGUGGCGAAGGCGGCAUCCUGGACCAACACUGACGCUGAGGAGCGAAAGCCAGGGGAGCAAACGGG